UUAAGUUAGAAAGGGCGCACGGUGGAUGCCUUGACACUAGGAGUCGAUGAAGGACGGGACUAACGCCGAUAUGCUUCGGGGAGCUGUAAGUAAGCUUUGAUCCGAAGAUUUCCGAAUGGGGAAACCCACCAUACGUAAUGGUAUGGUAUCCUUACCUGAAUACAUAGGGUAUGGAAGACAGACCCAGGGAACUGAAACAUCUAAGUACCUGGAGGAAGAGAAAGCAAAUGCGAUUUCCUGAGUAGCGGCGAGCGAAACGGAAUCUAGCCCAAACCAAGAGGCUUGCCUCUUGGGGUUGUAGGACAUUCUAUACGGAGUUACAAAGGAACGAGGUAGACGAAGCAGCCUGGAAAGGCUCGUCACAGAGGGUAACAACCCCGUAGUCGAAACUUCGUUCUCUCUUGAAUGUAUCCUGAGUACGGCGGAACACGUGAAAUUCCGUCGGAAUCUGGGAGGACCAUCUCCCAAGGCUAAAUACUACCUAGUGAUCGAUAGUGAACCAGUACCGUGAGGGAAAGGUGAAAAGCACCCCGGAAGGGGAGUGAAAGAGAUCCUGAAACCGUGUGCCUACAAAUAGUCAGAGCCCGUUAAUGGGUGAUGGCGUGCCUUUUGUAGAAUGAACCGGCGAGUUACGAUCCCGUGCGAGGUUAAGCUGAAGAGGCGGAGCCGUAGCGAAAGCGAGUCUGAAUAGGGCGUUUAGUACGUGGUCGUAGACCCGAAACCAGGUGAUCUACCCAUGUCCAGGGUGAAGUUCAGGUAACACUGAAUGGAGGCCCGAACCCACGCACGUUGAAAAGUGCGGGGAUGAGGUGUGGGUAGCGGAGAAAUUCCAAUCGAACCUGGAGAUAGCUGGUUCUCCCCGAAAUAGCUUUAGGGCUAGCCUUAAGUGUAAGAGUCUUGGAGGUAGAGCACUGAUUGAACUAGGGGUCCUCAUCGGAUUACCGAAUUCAGUCAAACUCCGAAUGCCAAUGACUUAUCCUUAGGAGUCAGACUGCGAGUGAUAAGAUCCGUAGUCAAGAGGGAAACAGCCCAGAUCGCCAGCUAAGGUCCCAAAGUGUGUAUUAAGUGGAAAAGGAUGUGGAGUUGCUUAGACAACUAGGAUGUUGGCUUAGAAGCAGCCACCAUUUAAAGAGUGCGUAAUAGCUCACUAGUCGAGUGACUCUGCGCCGAAAAUGUACCGGGGCUAAAUACACCACCGAAGCUGCGAAUUGAUACCUAUGGUAUCAGUGGUAGGGGAGCGUUCUAAGGGCAGUGAAGUCAGACCGUAAGGACUGGUGGAGCGCUUAGAAGUGAGAAUGCCGGUAUGAGUAGCGAAAGACGGGUGAGAAUCCCGUCCACCGAAUGCCUAAGGUUUCCUGAGGAAGGCUCGUCCGCUCAGGGUUAGUCAGGACCUAAGCCGAGGCCGACAGGCGUAGGCGAUGGACAACAGGUUGAUAUUCCUGUACCACCUCUUUAUCGUUUGAGCAAUGGAGGGACGCAGAAGGAUAGAAGAAGCGUGCGAUUGGUUGUGCACGUCCAAGCAGUUAGGCUGAUAAGUAGGCAAAUCCGCUUAUCGUGAAGGCUGAGCUGUGAUGGGGAAGCUCCUUAUGGAGCGAAGUCUUUGAUUCCCCGCUGCCAAGAAAAGCUUCUAGCGAGAUAAAAGGUGCCUGUACCGCAAACCGACACAGGUAGGCGAGGAGAGAAUCCUAAGGUGUGCGAGAGAACUCUGGUUAAGGAACUCGGCAAAAUGACCCCGUAACUUCGGGAGAAGGGGUGCUUUCUUAACGGAAAGCCGCAGUGAAUAGGCCCAAGCGACUGUUUAGCAAAAACACAGGUCUCUGCGAAGCCGUAAGGCGAAGUAUAGGGGCUGACACCUGCCCGGUGCUGGAAGGUUAAGGAGAGGGGUUAGCGUAAGCGAAGCUCUGAACUGAAGCCCCAGUAAACGGCGGCCGUAACUAUAACGGUCCUAAGGUAGCGAAAUUCCUUGUCGGGUAAGUUCCGACCCGCACGAAAGGUGUAACGAUUUGGGCACUGUCUCAACCAGAGACUCGGUGAAAUUAUAGUACCUGUGAAGAUGCAGGUUACCCGCGACAGGACGGAAAGACCCCGUGGAGCUUUACUGUAGCCUGAUAUUGAAUUUUGGUACAGUUUGUACAGGAUAGGCGGGAGCCUUUGAA
rnacentral:rRNA from 1 species